CUGAGUAAUUGGGUCUUUAUGGCCUAUAACUCCCACCCUUUUGUUUACUAUACCAAUAUUUAAAGUUGCUUUGGUAGGAACCUAGGCUUACCAUUGGAACUCUUUUUAAAACUCUUGAAUUGAGUCGUCUGAGAAUAAAUUCAAAUGAAUUA
rnacentral:misc_RNA from 1 species